rfam:Tritrichomonas foetus strain K scaffold_20, whole genome shotgun sequence.
GGUAGUAUGGCCGAGUGGUUUAAGGCAUUGGAAUUUUCAGUUAGAUCCAAUUUGCGAAGGUUCGAAUCCUUCUUCUACCA